AUACUUUUGUGGUUCAUAAGUGUGAUUACUGGGGUUUCAUGCAAUAUAUAAGAUGUUCCUCCUCAAACUUUGUUAGGAUGUUGGCACAUUACCUGUCUGAUG